GAAACGCGAUAGUUAAUGUGAAUUGCAGAAUUCAGUGAAUCAUCGAGUCUUUGAACGCACCUUGCGCUCCUUGGUAUUCCUUGGAGCAUGCCUGUUUGAGUAUCAUGAAAUCUUCAAAGUAAAUCUUUUGUUAACUCAAUUGGUUUCUACUUUGGUAUUGGAGGUCUUUGCAGCUUCACACCUGCUCCUCUUUGUUCAUUAGCUGGAUCUCAGUGUUAUGCUUGGUUCCACUCGGCGUGAUAAGUUAUCUAUCGCUGAGGACACUGUAAAAGGUGGCCAAGGUAAAUGCAGAUGAACCGCUUCUAAUAGUCCAUUGACUUGGACAAUACUUUUAUGAUCUGAUCUCAAAUCAGGUAGGACUACCCGCUGAACUUAAGC
rnacentral:misc_RNA from 1 species